rnacentral:tRNA from 1 species
GCGCCUGUAGCUCAGCGGAUAGAGCAGUUCCCUUCUAAGGAAAAGGUCGCAGGUUCGAUUCCCGCCAGGCGCGCCA